UUUUUUUGUUUCGUAACAAAGUUUCCGUAGGUGAACCUGCGG
rnacentral:rRNA from 1 species